rnacentral:rRNA from 1 species
GAUGAACGCUGGCGGCGUGCCUAAUACAUGCAAGUCGAGAGAAGCGGGGACGGGUGAGUAAUACGUGGAUAACCUCCUAUAAGACUGGGAUAACUUCGGGAAACCGGAGCUAAACCGGAUAAUUAUAGAUGGAUCCGCGCUGCAUUAGCUAGUUGGUCAGGGAACGGCUUACCAAGGCAACGAUGCAUAGCCGACCUGAGAGUGUGAUCGGCCACACUGAAACUGAGCCACGGUCCAGACUCCGACGGGAGGCAGCAGUAGGGAAUCUUCCGCAAUGGGCGAAAGCCUGACGGAGCUACGCCGCGUGAGUUAUGAAGGUCUUCGACUCUUAAAACUCUGUUAUUUGGGAAGCGGUACCUAAUCAUAAAGCCACGGCUAACUACGUGCCAGCAGCCGCGGUAAUUC